rfam:Leeuwenhoekiella marinoflava DSM 3653 genome assembly, contig: EJ63DRAFT_scaffold00003.3
CUUCGGCGUUGCUCAGGAUAAACCAAGCAGGAAUCGUAUACAGAGGCAUUUUGCACGGGUAAGCAACCACAUCAUUGUAAAGCUCCAAGAAUAUUAAAAGUGUAUUAAUGUAGAUACGGCAGGGAUCGGGGGAAA